rnacentral:rRNA from 1 species
UACGGAGGGAGCAAGCGUUGUUCGGAAUUACUGGGCGUAAAGGGCUCGUAGGCGGCCAGCUAAGUCGGACGUGAAAUCCCUCGGCUCAACCGGGGAACUGCGUCCGAUACUGGAUGGCUUGAGUUCGGGAGAGGGAUGCGGAAUUCCAGGUGUAGCGGUGAAAUGCGUAGAUAUCUGGAGGAACACCGGUGGCGAAGGCGGCAUCCUGGACCGAUACUGACGCUGAGGAGCGAAAGCCAGGGGAGCAAACGGG